rnacentral:lncRNA from 1 species
GGUGCUACACUCAAUAUGCCAGCAAGUUUGGAAAACUCAGCAGUGGCCAGAGGAUUGGAGAAGAUCAGUCUACAUCCCAAUCCCAAAGAAGGGCAGUGCCAAAGAAUGCUCCAACUACCACACAAUUGCACUCAUUUCACACGCUAGCAAGGUUAUGCUUAAAAUUCUACAAGGAAGGCUCAAGCAGUAUGUGGACCGAGAACUCCCAGAAGUGCAAGCUGGAUUUAGAAGAGGCAGAGGAACCAGAGACCAAAUUGCAAACAUGCGCUGGAUUAUGGAGAAAGCUAGAGAGUUCCAGAAAGACAUCUACUUCUGCUUCAUUGACUAUGCAAAAGCCUUUGACUGUGUCGACCACAGCAAACUAUGGCAAGUUUUUAAAGAAAUGGGAGUGCCUGAUCACCUCAUCUGUCUCCUGAGAAAUCUCUAUGUGGGACAAGAAGCUACAGUUAGAACUGGAUAUGGAACAACUGAUUGGUUCAAAAUUGGGAAAGGAGUACGACACGGCUGUAUAUUGUCUCCCUGCUUAUUUAACUUAUAUGCAGAAUUCAUCAUGCGAAAGGCUGGGCUGGAUGAAUCCGAAGCCGGAAUUAAGAUUGUCAGAAGAAAUAUCAACAACCUCAGAUAUGCAGAUGACACAACCUUGAUGGCAGAAAGUGAGGAGGAAUUAAAGAACCUUUUAUUGAGGGUGAAAGAGGAGAGCGCAAAAUAUGGUCUGAAGCUCAACAUCAAAAAAACGAAGAUCAUGGCCACCUGUCCCAUCACCUCCUGGCAAAUAGAAGGGGAAGAAAUGGAGGCAGUAAGAGAUUUUACUUUCUUGGGCUCCAUGAUCACUGCAGAUGGUGACAGCAGUCACAAAAUUAAAAGACGCCUGCUUCUUGGGAGAAAAGCAAUGACAAACCUAGACAGCAUCUUAAAAAGCAGAGACAUCACCUUGCCAACAAAGGUCCAUAUAGUUAAAGCCAUGGUUUUCCCAGUAGUGAUGUAUGGAAGUGAGAGCUGGACCAUAAAGAAGGCUGAUCGCCGAAGAAUAGAUGCUUUUGAAUUAUGGUGCUGGAAGAGACUCUUGAGAGUCCCAUGGACUGCAAGAAGAUCAAACGUAUCCAUUCUUAAGUAAAACAGCCCUGAGUGCCCACUGGAAGGACAGAUCGUGAAGCUGAGGCUACAAUACUUUGGCCACCUCAUGAGAAGAGAAGACUCCCUGGAAAAGACCCUGAUGUUGGGAAAGAUGGAGGGCACAAGGAGAAGGGGACAACAGAGGAUGAGAUGGUUGGAUGGUGUUCUCGAAGCUACCAGCAGGAAUUUGACCAAACUGCGGGAGGCAGUGGAAGACAGAAGUGCCUGGCGUGCUCUGGUCCAUGGGGUCACGAAGAGUCGGACACGACUAAACGACUAAACAACAACAACAACAAC